UAGGGAAUUUUCGGCAAUGGGGGAAACCCUGACCGAGCAACGCCGCGUGAAUGAAGACGUAUUUCGGUAUGUAAAGUUCUUUUAUUAAGGAAGAAUGUCGUUGGUAGGAAAUGACUAACGAGUGACGGUACUUAAUGAAUAAGCCCCGGCUAACUAUGUGCCAGCAGCCGCGGUAAUACAUAGGGGGCAAGCGUUAUCCGGAAUUAUUGGGCGUAAAGGGUGCGUAGGCGGUCUAUUAAGUCUGAGGUGUAAGUGCAGGGCUCAACCCUGUGAUGCUUUAGAAACUGGUAGACUUGAGUGAGAUAGAGGCAAGUGGAAUUCCAUGUGUAGCGGUAAAAUGCGUAAAUAUAUGGAGGAACACCAGUGGCGAAGGCGGCUUGCUGGGUCUAUACUGACGCUGAGGCACGAAAGCGUGGGGAGCAAACAGG
rnacentral:rRNA from 2 species